rnacentral:sRNA from 1 species
AGAAAUUUUAUUUUUGUUUAACCCGUUAUAAUGUAAUUUAAUUAGGCAAUGUAAUUCUCUAUCUGAAAAUGUAUUAUUAAAACGAAAGAAGAAUUAAAGGGUUUAUAAAAAGUUGUUUUUAAUUUUGCCAUAUUGCGUUGUUGAAUGGUUUAAACAUUUGAUAGGUAUUUGAAUGCAUUGUAUAUUUAAAAUUACAGUUGUGUUUUUUAAAAACUGAACUGUAUUUGUAUUGUGUGCGUUGAUGUACUUAUUGCUAUGUUACAUACAUAUUUAUUAAAAGAAUAAUGCCAUU